UACGAAGGGGGCUAGCGUUGUUCGGAUUUACUGGGCGUAAAGCGCACGUAGGCGGCUUGUUAAGUCAGGGGUGAAAUCCCGGAGCUCAACUCCGGAACUGCCUUUGAUACUGGCAAUCUUGAGGCUGGAAGAGGUUAGUGGAAUUCCCAGUGUAGAGGUGAAAUUCGUAGAUAUUGGGAAGAACACCAGUGGCGAAGGCGGCUAACUGGUCCAGAUCUGACGCUGAGGUGCGAAAGCGUGGGGAGCAAACAGG
rnacentral:rRNA from 1 species